UGGUAGCAUCUCUGGCUGCUGUUGACCUUGUUUUUGAAGUAAAACACGGUGGAAGCUGAAUUAGUGAGGAUGACUCCUGCUCCUGUCAUCUCUAAGCUCCUCCCACAUCUUUACCUGCACAUGAGGAAAAUCACUCCUGUAGAAUGCAGAUGUUCAGAGGGAGAUGAUGCCACAUCUGGUCCAGCUGAUGGAAGGUCUUGAAGUUCUCUGACUGGCCUGGACUGAAGAUGGUCGUCUCACUGGAUUUAAGGUUCAGAUGCUCAGUAACAAACUCCACCAAUGAGCCAACAGGGAAGCUUUAGGUUUAUUAAAUGUUGCUAUGAAGGUUUCGCUGUUUUUCUUUGAAUGCAAUGUGCUCCAACUGAAACUUGAAUUAGAACUUAGAAGUAAAUCCUUCCAUCUGAAAGGAUUUAGUUGCAUUAAUAACCUCAUAACAUUCUAAUUUUUAUUCCAGUCUUAGUUGGAAAUAGAAUCUCUGUAUUGAUUCAGGUAAAAACUGAACUUCACAGCAUGUUGGAGCAAAACAACCAGAUGAAAACUGUGAUGGUGUUGGAUUGUCAGACCGUAAUGUUGCAGCUCAAAGCAGCUUUUCUAUCUCAGUUCAUUCUGACAUUCAGCUAUGAAUCAACACAGCAGAUGGUGAUCCAUGCUGUGGAAGUCUCACAUCUCCUGAUUUAAUGGAGCUGCUUUGCACUUUUUACACUGUUUAUUCACCAACACUUUAUUUAAUAAAAGUCCCAUCUAGUUUUUAUGAGGAAUGUGAUGUUUUAAUUUCUCUGUGAAUAACUGCAGUCUAAUGUUAGAGCUGGAAUUGUAACAUCUGUCCUGAUGUUGAUCAUGAAGUAUUGAUCAGAAUACUUAUGGUCAGCAGUCAUCCCUGAAGUUUUACAUUAAAAUCUUUACUUGUGUUGUGAACUUUGGUAAGAAGCAGAAACAUUAGCGUUGCCAUGGAUACAUGAGUAUUAAAUUCUGUCUAUGUUUCCAUUUUGGGAAAUUCAGUCCAGUUGCAGAAUGUGGAGGAAUUUAGUCUCACAAUCACAGACAACAAAUAUUAUCUGAAAGUCGGGUUAUUGUUGUUUAUCAGCACAAUACAAAAAGAUUAAUGUUAGAAAUAUUCCAGUUAAGACUCUGGAAUAUCAUGAUUUAUGAAAAUUUACCUCAAUAAUAUGAAUGUUAAGGUUAAGAUUGUACAGUGAUAUUUAUUAUGUAAGUUUAGCUGAUUAAAGUUUAUGACUCUGCACUAAAACAUCAUUUAAGUUGACAUCAUUAUUAUAAUAUUUAGGGUCAGACCCUACAGUAUUGAGAUUAAGAAAUCAAAUAUUCUAUAAAAUGUAAAUACACUGAACUCAUUUGGAUAUAUUUAAGUGAGACUCUACAAUAUUAUUUGACACAAAUCUAUCUAAAUCAAAAUUUUAAUAAUUUUCAUGCCAAACAUUUACUGCACUGAUUUAAAUAUUAAAAUCACUCCUUUCUAAUCCUCUGCUGUACAUUCAAACCUGAGGCCUUAAAUAGAAACACACAAGUAUCUGUUUGAAGGAACUUCUGCAGAGUCCUGGUUCCAGAACAUGAUGAUAGAUUUAUAGACAAACUUUAACAAAAGCUGCCUGAGAGUCUACAGGUUUUUUAUGUUAGAUUUCUUCACUAAUUUAAUGAGUUAUCAGCAAAAAUCAAGUGUUUAUUUGAUGAACUUCAUUUCCUAAAACAUCCAGAAUUGGAGCUCGUAUCUUUGGCAGCUGUAAAGUUUCUGCUCCUUCAAAGUUCACAACACAAUGAAUGAAUUCCUGAAACACUCUCAAUGCUGGAGAGCGUUUGAUGCUGAAGCAGUGAUCAGUUUUUCUGUUUCUUCUCUGGAGAUGCACAAUGAGGGACGUCUGCAGCGACUGAGAAAGAAUCUCACCACAUCCUGACAUGAGGAAAAAGACUUUAUUGAAGACUACAAUGAGAAAAACUAUCAGACAGCAGACGGCUGCAUUCAAGGUGAGAUCUGAACAUUUGAUCUGGAACAGGAAUUCAAUAACGGCAGCAUGAGCUUCAUUUCAGUCUGUAGCUGCUGAAUUCAUGGAUGAAUCAUCUGGCACUAGAGAGGAAGACUAUCAAACAUCCACGUCAGCUGAUGGAGGUCCAAGAGUCUCACCAAACAAACAACCUACAGAGUGAAGACCUCGAAUCUGAUUGGACGGC